rnacentral:misc_RNA from 1 species
AAAGUCGUAACAAGGUUUCCGUAGGUGAACCUGCGGAAGGAUCAUUAAUACGUAUCCACGUUUCAACCCCCUGUGAACAAAACCUGCGAGCCGGUCCCGGUGAAAGUCCAUCUGCAAGGAGGGACUGGGACUUUAAAAUGGUCGUACCUGGAAUCGGCGCAAGCUGAUUUCUUUUAACACCUUUUUCGAACAUUGUACUAAUCUUGACUGCUUUCACGAGCGUUCAAAAUACGAAAUCAAAACAACUCUUAGCAACGGAUAUCUUGGUUCCC